rnacentral:rRNA from 1 species
CUGAUCUCAAAUCAGGUAGGACUACCCGCUGAAC